GGGGCUGUGGCUCAGUGGUGGAGCACUUGCCUAGCAUGCAUGAGGCACUGGGUUCAAUCCUCAGCAUCACA
rnacentral:tRNA from 1 species